AAAAAAUGAAAAUAAUAUGAAAGGCAAGAAAAACUAAAAGUGCAAUAUCUUAAAAAUUAAGAGAAAAGAAGACAAUCUCUUCGAUACAUUUUGAUAUUAUAUUUCAUUUUAUUAACAUAUCUACAACUAUAAGAUUCAUAAAAUAAAAUUAUUAAUGUCAACUCAGUAAAAAAGUGAUAGGUUGUGCAAUAUUCUAGUAAGAUAUUUUUGUACUCUUUUGGAUAUAUAAUACUCACAUUAUAUUUAUCAAUACCUUCUUACACAAAUACAUUUAGCUAAAUAACACAUCGGUUUAUAAGCAAACACACUGCACAUAUUUUUUGGACAAUCUUGAUCACUAUCACAUGGAAUAUUCGCCGCUGAAAUGGAAAAAGAGAGGAAAAAAAUGUCACUAAAAUUUGAUAAAAUAUUGGCAAUGAAUAAAUAAAGAAGUCUGAAAAAAAGAAAAGAAAAAUAACUUACCCUCAACGUUCAAAACAACAAGAAAUAGAGAGAAAAAGAGAAUCAUAAUAUAAACAAACUUGAUCAUUGUAAACAUAUUUUUCACCAUUUAUCUGUACCCAACAAAAUAUGAUUUAUCACACUAUAUUUUCCACAAAUAAAUAAUUUUUGGUAUUUAUAAAGAUUGUGUUUUUUACGGUUAGCACUUUAGAGUUGUAUAAAAAAACUUCCAAUAUAAUUAAUAAUUAUUAAAUGUCUCUUUCUUUAUUUUCAUGAAAUACCUCUUAACCACAUCAAUGUGCUGUUUCUUUUCCAUCUAACUUAUUAGUGAGGAGGUCGCAUAAAAACUUGCUAAUUAUAAGAAUUUAUUCUUAUUUUACCAAGUUUUGAUAAUUUUAUAACUUUUCAUGAUAAGAAAGAGAAAAUUGAAAAAUAAUAAUAUUGUUAUUAAUUUUAUUUAUUAAGUAUCCCAAUGUGUUGUGUUUUUUCUUUAGCACACUUAGUAACACUUAGUAAGGAGAUUACAUAAAAACUUUACCGUUCAUGAAAAAAUCGUCCUUUUCUUAUUCAUCAAUUUUAUUUUUUUAAUAACCCUUCAUAAUGGUAAAAAGAAGAUGACGUAAGAGUAACCAUA
rnacentral:lncRNA from 1 species